ensembl:rRNA 5S_rRNA 5S ribosomal RNA
GCCUCAGGCCGUAUCAGCCUGAAGGCGCCCGAUCUCGUCUGAUCUCGGAAGCUAAGCAGGGUCGGGCCUGGUUAGUAUCUUGGAUGGGAGACCACCUGGGAAUCCCGGGUGCUCGAGGCU